CCCUUAGACGUUCUGGGCCGCACGCGCGCUACACUGACCAGUGCAACAAGCAUCCGUCCUUGGCCGACAGGCUCGGGCAAUCUUUGAACGCUGGUCGUGAUGGGGAUAGACUUUUGCAAUUUUUGGUCUUAAACGAGGAAUUCCUAGUAAACGCAAGUCAUCAACUUGCAUUGAUUACGUCCCUGCCCUUUGUACACACCGCCCGUCGCACCUACCGAUUGAAUGGUCCGGUGAAGCCUCCGGAUUGGCGCGCACCUCGGUGCCGCCGAGAAGUUGGCUAAACCUUACCAUUUAGAGGAAGGUGAAGUCGUAACA
rnacentral:rRNA from 1 species